CGCUGGAAGUGGCUGUUUUCCUGCCCGGACAAGCGUUCGCAUUUUGCUUGUGACCUCAACCGGGGGAGCUUACUGAGCUCCUCGGAAAGGGGGCAGGAGUCCUGCUCACCUAUCGGACUAGCCUUUGCAUGGGUGCUUAGCCGCUUCUUGUGUUUUAACUCCAGGAUCAUUAACCUCCAGGUGAAGCUGUAAAUGAAUCGAACAAUUUCAGGGGAUACAAACUUCCAAGGGUUCUGAAAUGGAGACCUUUUGAGACCUAUUAUUCGUGCAACCUGUAUGUAUACAGCUGACCCACUGGAAUAGAAUGCAAUCCCAGAUUCUUCAUCUGUUAUCCUUCCUGACUCUAAUGACAGAAGGUUGCAGUGCUUUUGGACUAUUCCCCCUCCCUGGAGUGGAAGACACACUUUUGAGGAAGCCACCAGCAGCCUACUUCUCCAUUUCCUGUGGUGUGGGAUGUCAGUGGCAAACAUCUUUCCUGCUGUGAUCCAGGUUUCUUGCUGUGAGAUACUUUCUCAAAAACAGACUAUGGCUGAAGAUGACAUGGGGCCAUCUACAUUGAAUAGUUCUAUCUUGGAGAGACAGCGGGGGUGCUAUCAGCAGAACUAUUGACUUAACAACUCUCUGCUCAACAGCUGAUGGGGGGUUGGAGCAUGGAAAAUCCGUAAUGGAAGAAGACAAACAGAAAAAGGUGUUAGACUGCCUUUAAAGUAAUAUGCUCUAAAAGGAAGAGACAGUCAAUCAUCAGAAGUAUAAGACACAGCUGAAGGAGUUUGUUUUGUAUAUUUUUGUAACUUGCUUGUACUGUCGA